rnacentral:rRNA from 1 species
CGCGAAGAACCUUACCAAGGCUUGACAUACACCAGAACACCGUAGAAAUACGGGACUCUUUGGACACUGGUGAACAGGUGGUGCAUGGUUGUCGUCAGCUCGUGUCGUGAGAUGUUGGGUUAAGUCCCGCAACGAGCGCAACCCUCGUUCUAUGUUGCCAGCACGUUAUGGUGGGAACUCAUGGGAUACUGCCGGGGUCAACUCGGAGGAAGGUGGGGAUGACGUCAAAUCAUCAUGCCCCUUAUGUCUUGGGCUUCACGCAUGCUACAAUGGCCGGUACAAAGGGCUGCAAUACCGUGAGGUGGAGCGAAUCCCAAAAAGCCGGUCCCAGUUCGGAUUGAGGUCUGCAACUCGACCUCAUGAAGUCGGAGUCGCUAGUAAUCGCAGAUCAGCAACGCUGCGGUGAAUACGUUCCCGGGCCUUGUACACACCG